rnacentral:rRNA from 1 species
AGAGUUUGAUCAUGGCUCAGAUUGAACGCUGGCGGCAGGCCUAACACAUGCAAGUCGAACGGUAGCACAGAGAGCUUGCUCUCGGGUGACGAGUGGCGGACGGGUGAGUAAUGUCUGGGAAACUGCCUGAUGGAGGGGGAUAACUACUGGAAACGGUAGCUAAUACCGCAUAACGUCGCAAGACCAAAGAGGGGGACCUUCGGGCCUCUUGCCAUCAGAUGUGCCCAGAUGGGAUUAGCUAGUAGGUGGGGUAACGGCUCACCUAGGCGACGAUCCCUAGCUGGUCUGAGAGGAUGACCAGCCACACUGGAACUGAGACACGGUCCAGACUCCUACGGGAGGCAGCAGUGGGGAAUAUUGCACAAUGGGCGCAAGCCUGAUGCAGCCAUGCCGCGUGUAUGAAGAAGGCCUUCGGGUUGUAAAGUACUUUCAGCGGGGAGGAAGGUGUUGUGGUUAAUAACCACAGCAAUUGACGUUACCCGCAGAAGAAGCACCGGCUAACUCCGUGCCAGCAGCCGCGGUAAUACGGAGGGUGCAAGCGUUAAUCGGAAUUACUGGGCGUAAAGCGCACGCAGGCGGUCUGUCAAGUCGGAUGUGAAAUCCCCGGGCUCAACCUGGGAACUGCAUUCGAAACUGGCAGGCUAGAGUCUUGUAGAGGGGGGUAGAAUUCCAGGUGUAGCGGUGAAAUGCGUAGAGAUCUGGAGGAAUACCGGUGGCGAAGGCGGCCCCCUGGACAAAGACUGACGCUCAGGUGCGAAAGCGUGGGGAGCAAACAGGAUUAGAUACCCUGGUAGUCCACGCCGUAAACGAUGUCGACUUGGAGGUUGUUCCCUUGAGGAGUGGCUUCCGGAGCUAACGCGUUAAGUCGACCGCCUGGGGAGUACGGCCGCAAGGUUAAAACUCAAAUGAAUUGACGGGGGCCCGCACAAGCGGUGGAGCAUGUGGUUUAAUUCGAUGCAACGCGAAGAACCUUACCUACUCUUGACAUCCAGAGAACUUUCCAGAGAUGGAUUGGUGCCUUCGGGAACUCUGAGACAGGUGCUGCAUGGCUGUCGUCAGCUCGUGUUGUGAAAUGUUGGGUUAAGUCCCGCAACGAGCGCAACCCUUAUCCUUUGUUGCCAGCGGUUAGGCCGGGAACUCAAAGGAGACUGCCAGUGAUAAACUGGAGGAAGGUGGGGAUGACGUCAAGUCAUCAUGGCCCUUACGAGUAGGGCUACACACGUGCUACAAUGGCGCAUACAAAGAGAAGCGACCUCGCGAGAGCAAGCGGACCUCAUAAAGUGCGUCGUAGUCCGGAUUGGAGUCUGCAACUCGACUCCAUGAAGCCGGAAUCGCUAGUAAUCGUAGAUCAGAAUGCUACGGUGAAUACGUUCCCGGGCCUUGUACACACCGCCCGUCACACCAUGGGAGUGGGUUGCAAAAGAAGUAGGUAGCUUAACCUUCGGGAGGGCGCUUACCACUUUGUGAUUCAUGACUGGGGUGAAGUCGUAACAAGGUAACCGUAGGGGAACCUGCGGUUGGAUCACCU